rnacentral:rRNA from 1 species
CCUACGGGAGGCAGCAGUGAGGAAUAUUGGUCAAUGGGCGAAAUCCUGAACCAGCCAAGUAGCGUGCAGGAUGACGGCCCUAUGGGUUGUAAACCUCUUUUAUAGGGGAAUAACGCGCGGGACGUGUAGCGGCUUGCGUGUACCCGAUGAAUAAGCAUCGGCUAAUUCCGUGCCAGCAGCCGCGGUAAUACGGAAGGUCCGGGCGUUAUCCGGAUUUAUUGGGUUUAAAGGGAGCGUAGGUCGUGUGUUAAGGCCGCUGUGAAAUUUGCGGGCUCAACCCGGACCGUGCGGUGGAAACUGGCAGGCUUGAGUACGCGAGAAGCAGGCGGAAUGCGGGGUGUAGCGGUGAAAUGCUUAGAUAUGGCGAAGAACCCCGAUUGCGAAGGCAGCUUACUGGCGCCAAACUGACGCUGAUGCUCGAAAGCGUGGGUAUCGAACAGGAUUAGAUACCCUUGUAGUC